GCAGCGCUGCCGCAGCGCCCCCUGCCGGCCCCCAGCCCACACGGGGCCCUGGCUUCUCUGUCCAAGGGAGAAAUUGUUCCAAGGGCGAGAAAGGAACGAAUCGGUAUGAACGUAAGGAUAGACACAGUAACACAAGGAAAAGAUCGAUUUUUAAGACUACAGUUGAUUUACUGUAAAAUUCAGGCAACACUUUCUGUGCUGUUUUCAUAUCUGUAAAAUCCAAAAUCUAAGCAAAAUUUGAAGUCCUAUCUGAAGCCAAUGGUUCUGCACACCAUAUAGACCAGCAGCAUUCUGAAUGAACACAGAACUGACGUCUCCAUUGUCUUCUCUGGGUUUGGGCUCCUCCUGGCAUCACCCAGCAUUCGCCAGGCCCCUGUCUGAAGGGUUUGGUCAGUGCAAAAGAGGGUCAUCAAGAAGAACCUCAACCACAGCACAGGCCUUGGACACAUCUGAACAAAGAACCCUCACAACACACAUGGACAGUGCAGGACACGGACCGACACUGAACCAAGACAACAGGAACUGAACUGUUACAAUUCACUUCAACAGUGCUGGCAAAGUUCAUGUCAGGAAUGUUUAGCUAUUUUAUAUUAUUGUAAGAAAUCCUGGGACAAUCCAUCUUAAUGGGAACACUUUGUUCAAUUACAGAUCAGUGUCUCCAUCUGACACUAAAUGGAAACAACUUUUAUUGAAAUAACAGUUUUACAUCACCUCAGAAUUCUUGUUUCUUUGUUUCUUAAAACCUGUACUAGUCUAGUAAGAGCAGUGUAAUUUACUGUCAAGAAAUAUUUACCGUGAUUUCUCAUGAGAGUUUAAAAGGGAACAAAAGUUUUGUCACACAAUAAUUCAAACGGAUAAAUCUUAUGGCACAUUUCAAAGGUUGACAUCAAAGCAAUGUUAUGCAGAUCCUCUUUGUAAAUAGUUACAAAUAAUAGGCAUGACACAAAUAUGACAGUUUCAGUAUUUAAUAUUUAAUAUCCAAUUUAAACAUAAGUAUUCAAAAGGAAAUAUUUUUACACUAUUUCAGUAGUCACUUAGCUCAAUAGCUGGUUGCAAUAAUCCUUAAAGUUUUCAGGAACUGGAUGGAGCUAUAAGCGUGAAAACUCCCAUUUUAAGUUAAUGCAUGACAAAGUUCCACUACAA